UCCGUAGGUGGCAAUCGUUGUCCGGAUUUACUGGGCGUAAAGGGAGCGUAGGUGGAUAUUUAAGUGGGAUGUGAAAUCCCCGGGCUUAACCUGGGGGCUGCAUCCCAAACUGGAUGUCUAGAGUGCAGGAGAGGAGAGUGGAAUUCCUAGUGUAGCGGUGAAAUGCGUAGAGAUUAGGAAGAACACCAGUGGCGAAGGCGACUCUCUGGACUGUAACUGACACUGAGGCUCGAAAGCGUGGGGAGAAAACAGG
rnacentral:rRNA from 1 species